GAUGAACGCUGGCGGCGUGCCUAAUACAUGCAAGUCGAGCGAACAGAUGAGAAGCUUGCUUCUCUGAUGUUAGCGGCGGACGGGUGAGUAACACGUGGGUAACCUACCUAUAAGACUGGGAUAACUCCGGGAAACCGGGGCUAAUACCGGAUAAUAUUUUGAACCGCAUGGUUCGAUAGUGAAAGACGGUUUCGGCUGUCACUUAUAGAUGGACCCGCGCCGUAUUAGCUAGUUGGUAAGGUAACGGCUUACCAAGGCGACGAUACGUAGCCGACCUGAGAGGGUGAUCGGCCACACUGGAACUGGGACACGGUCCAGACUCCUACGGGAGGCAGCAGUAGGGAAUCUUCCGCAAUGGGCGAAAGCCUGACGGAGCAACGCCGCGUGAGUGAUGAAGGUCUUCGGAUCGUAAAACUCUGUUGUUAGGGAAGAACAAAUUUGUUAGUAACUGAACAAGUCUUGACGGUACCUAACCAGAAAGCCACGGCUAACUACGUGCCAGCAGCCGCCGUAA
rnacentral:rRNA from 1 species